rnacentral:rRNA from 1 species
GGGUGCUAUACUGCAGUCGAGCGAACAGAUAAGGAGCUUGCUCCUUUGACGUUAGCGGCGGACGGGUGAGUAACACGUGGGUAACCUACCUAUAAGACUGGGAUAACUUCGGGAAACCGGAGCUAAUACCGGAUAACAUUUGGAACCGCAUGGUUCUAAAGUGAAAGAUGGUUUUGCUAUCACUUAUAGAUGGACCCGCGCCGUAUUAGCUAGUUGGUAAGGUAACGGCUUACCAAGGCGACGAUACGUAGCCGACCUGAGAGGGUGAUCGGCCACACUGGAACUGAGACACGGUCCAGACUCCUACGGGAGGCAGCAGUAGGGAAUCUUCCGCAAUGGGCGAAAGCCUGACGGAGCAACGCCGCGUGAGUGAUGAAGGGUUUCGGCUCGUAAAACUCUGUUAUUAGGGAAGAACAAACGUGUAAGUAACUGUGCACGUCUUGACGGUACCUAAUCAGAAAGCCACGGCUAACUACGUGCCAGCAGCCGCGGUAAUACGUAGGUGGCAAGCGUUAUCCGGAAUUAUUGGGCGUAAAGCGCGCGUAGGCGGUUUCUUAAGUCUGAUGUGAAAGCCCACGGCUCAACCGUGGAGGGUCAUUGGAAACUGGGAAACUUGAGUGCAGAAGAGGAAAGUGGAAUUCCAUGUGUAGCGGUGAAAUGCGCAGAGAUAUGGAGGAACACCAGUGGCGAAGGCGACUUUCUGGUCUGUAACUGACGCUGAUGUGCGAAAGCGUGGGGAUCAAACAGGAUUAGAUACCCUGGUAGUCCACGCCGUAAACGAUGAGUGCUAAGUGUUAGGGGGUUUCCGCCCCUUAGUGCUGCAGCUAACGCAUUAAGCACUCCGCCUGGGGAGUACGACCGCAAGGUUGAAACUCAAAGGAAUUGACGGGGACCCGCACAAGCGGUGGAGCAUGUGGUUUAAUUCGAAGCAACGCGAAGAACCUUACCAAAUCUUGACAUCCUUUGAAAACUCUAGAGAUAGAGCCUUCCCCUUCGGGGGACAAAGUGACAGGUGGUGCAUGGUUGUCGUCAGCUCGUGUCGUGAGAUGUUGGGUUAAGUCCCGCAACGAGCGCAACCCUUAAGCUUAGUUGCCAUCAUUAAGUUGGGCACUCUAGGUUGACUGCCGGUGACAAACCGGAGGAAGGUGGGGAUGACGUCAAAUCAUCAUGCCCCUUAUGAUUUGGGCUACACACGUGCUACAAUGGACAAUACAAAGGGCAGCUAAACCGCGAGGUCAUGCAAAUCCCAUAAAGUUGUUCUCAGUUCGGAUUGUAGUCUGCAACUCGACUACAUGAAGCUGGAAUCGCUAGUAAUCGUAGAUCAGCAUGCUACGGUGAAUACGUUCCCGGGUCUUGUACACACCGCCCGUCACACCACGAGAGUUUGUAACACCCGAAGCCGGUGGAGUAACCAUUUAUGGAGCUAGCCGUCGAAGUGACAAGUG